AUGUGUCCAUAUGAAGAGUUCUGGGGCCUGGCUGGCCUGUGUCAUGACUGUAUUGAGUUAGGAGAACAGCUUUCUGAAUCCCCACAACUUGUCCUGGAGGAGACAGCUGCAGAGGAAGCCAAUAUCCUGUACACUCAGCAGAAGUGCAGUGAAGGGGAAUGGCUGAGGGGACCAACAGUGACUCCUACAUCUACUCAGAGAAAAGAUGUGGACCUUCAAUCUGAAGCUCCUAUGUGCGUGCAUCUUUUGAGAACGAGAUCCUGGCAGGCUGGCUGCAAGAGUCAGUCCCAGUCAGGACACAGCAUAGACAUGAGGACGCCCAUUCAGCUCUUGGGGCUCCUGCUGCUCUGGCUCUCAGGUGCCAGAUGUGACAUCCAGAUGACACAGUCUCCAGAAUCCCUGUCUGCAUCUGUAGGAGACUCAGUCACCAUCACUUGCCAGGCCAGUCAGAACAUUGGCAGUUUAUUAAACUGGUAUCAGCAGAAACCAGGAAAAUCUCCUAAGCUUCUAGUCUAUGCAGCAUCAAAUUUGGACACUGGGGUCUCCUUGAGGUUCAGUGGCAGUAGAUCUGGGACAGAUUUCACUCUCAGCAUCAGCAGCCUGGAGCCUGAAGAUAUUGCAACUUAUUACUGUCAACAGUAUUAUAAUAUCCCUCCCACAGUGAUACAAGUCAUAGCAUAA